rnacentral:tRNA from 1 species
UCCUUGGUGGUGUAGUGGUGAGCAUGCUCAGCUAGUAUUUGAGAGGUCCGGGGUUCGAAUCCCGACGAAGGCA